UGCACUGCGCGUAUUCAAUCACACUGCGCUUCGGACUCCAGGAGCGAUGGCAUUCUGUUCUAUCGGCUGCCUUUUGGUUUUGGUCGCUCACUAUGGGCUGGCGGAACCAGUAACUGACUCUGUCCCGCCGUUACACACCGCGGAACCGGGCGGGAAUAUCACGCUGAAAUGCGGAGUAGAUCCAAGUAAAAUAAACCAAUAUGUAACUGUUUGGGUUAACUGGUACCGGCAGGAGCCGGACGGGCGAAUCCAGAUCGUCACAUCCCUGAUCACGGGCUACUUAAAAGAGGGUCGGUAUUCCGGAACACUCGACAGCAAGAACGGACAGUAUAAUUUAACCAUUGCGGACCUCCAAAGAACCGACUCGGCCGUGUAUUUCUGUAUAGCGGAAGCAGCUCUCGAAUUCGCACCUGGAUCCAGCACCAAACUCGUUGUAUCAGAUUGCGUUCCUGUGUUGUUUUACGGACUGCCCGCCGUUCUCCUGCUAAUUCUGGUCGUGGUGUCUGUGGCGUGUGUUUACAGAAGACUUCAUAAAACUAAAACCGAUCACAAGUCCAGCGAGGCGCCCUGCCGUCCCCAGCGCCCCGCCCGACACAGAACAGUCCAGGAUUACUCGACGGAGUACGCAUCGCUCAAUCUGUGACGGGCUCCACAAAGCACUGCGCCCAUCUUCAAAUGCAGCCGUGGACAGAGAGAGAGAGAGAGAGAGAGAGAGAGAGAGAGAGAGAGAGAGAGAGAGAGAGAGAGAGAGAGAGAGAGAGAGAGAGAGAGAGAGAGAGAGAGAGAGAGAGAGAGAGAGAGAGAGAGAGAGCUCUGUAUACUCUUUCAAUUCCAAGUCAAAUUCACUGUGCAGAUACAGUUGUGUGCUUGCACUUUGUAACUAUGCAUAAUACCACUGUAAUGAUGUGCCAGUCCGCAUGCAUUUACCAAAUACACAGCAAUGAGAGACACUUCAUGUCAAAUAUUACCCAUUUGUAUUGAAAUGAACCUUAAACAGCUGGACUCAAAUUCAAGCAAGCCUCUCAUGCUG